rnacentral:rRNA from 1 species
CCCUACUGCUAUCGGGGUGGGACUAAGACAUGCAAGUCGUGCGUCUCUAAGCCAUGGUAGAGACGCGGCGUACGGCUCAGUAACACGUGGCUAACCUACCCUUAGGACAGGGACAACCCCGGGAAACUGGGGCUAAUAUCUGAUAGGUGAGGAGGCCUGGAAUGGUUCUUCGCCGAAAAGGCGUUGAAACCAUGCUUUUCAACGUCGCCUAAGGAUGGGGCCGCGCCCGAUCAGGUUGUUGGUGGGGUAACGGCUCACCAAGCCUAUGACCGGUACGGGCCGUGAGAGCGGGAGCCCGGAGAUGGGCACUGAGACAAGGGCCCAGGCCCUACGGGGCGCAGCAGUCGCGAAAACUCCGCAAUGCACGAAAGUGUGACGGGGCUACCCCGAGUGCCGUCCGCUGAGGAUGGCUUUUCCCCGGUGUAAUGAGCCGGGGGAAUAAGGAGAGGGCAAGUCUGGUGUCAGCCGCCGCGGUAAUACCAGCUCUCCGAGUGGUAGGGACGAUUAUUGGGCUUAAAGCGUCCGUAGCCGGCUUAGCAGGUCUUCCGUUAAAUUCAGCGACCUAAUCGUUGAGCCGCGGGAGAUACUACUAGGCUAGGAGGCGGGAGAGGCCGACGGUAUUCCCGGGGUAGGGGUGAAAUCCUAUAAUCCCGGGAGGACCACCAGUGGCGAAGGCUGUCGGCUAGAACGCGCUCGACGGUGGGGGACGAAAGCUGGGGGAGCGAACCGGAUUAGAUACCCGGGUAGUCCCAGCUGUAUACGAUGCGGGCUAGGUGUUGAGGUGGCUACGAGCCACUUCAGUGCCGCAGGGAAGCCAUUAAGCCCGCCGCCUGGGGAGUACGGCCGCAAGGCUGAAACUUAAAGGAAUUGGCGGGGGAGCACCACAAGGCGUGAAGCUUGCGGUUC